GAUGAACGCUGGCGGCGUGCCUAAUACAUGCAAGUCGAGCGAACAGACGAGGAGCUUGCUCCUCUGACGUUAGCGGCGGACGGGUGAGUAACACGUGGAUACCCUACCUAUAAGACUGGGAUAACUUCGGGAACCCGGAGCUAAUACCGGAUAAUAUAUUGAACCGCAGGGUUCAAUAGGGAAAGACGGUUUUGCUGUCACUUAUAGAUGAAUCCGCGCCGCAUUAGCUAGUUGGUAAGGUAACGGCUUACCAAGGCAACGAUGCGUAGCCGACCUGAGAGGGUGAUCGGCCACACUGGAACUGAGACACGGUCCAGACUCCUACGGGAGGCAGCAGUAGGGAAUCUUCCGCAAUGGGCGAAAGCCUGACGGAGCAACGCCGCGUGAGUGAUGAAGGUCUUCGGAUCGUAAAACUCUGUUAUUAGGGAAGAACAAAUGUGUAAGUAACUAUGCACGUCCUGACGGUACCUAAUCAGAAAGCCACGGCUAACUACGUG
rnacentral:rRNA from 1 species